GAUGAACGCUGGCGGCGUGCCUAAUACAUGCAAGUCGAGCGAACGGACGAGAAGCUUGCUUCUCUGAUGUUAGCGGCGGACGGGUGAGUAACACGUGGAUAACCUACCUAUAAGACUGGGAUAACUUCGGGAAACCGGAGCUAAUGCCGGAUAAUAUUUUGAACCGCAUGGUUCAAAAGUGAAAGACGGUCUUGCUGUCACUUAUAGAUGGAUCCGCGCUGCAUUAGCUAGUUGGUAAGGUAACGGCUUACCAAGGCAACGAUGCAUAGCCGACCUGAGAGGGUGAUCGGCCACACUGGAACUGAGACACGGUCCAGACUCCUACGGGAGGCAGCAGUAGGGAAUCUUCCGCAAUGGGCGAAAGCCUGACGGAGCAACGCCGCGUGAGUGAUGAAGGUCUUCGGAUCGUAAAACUCUGUUAUUAGGGAAGAACAUAUGUGUAAGUAACUGUGCACAUCUUGACGGUACCUAAUCAGAAAGCCACGGCUAACUACGUGCCAGCAGCCGCGGUAAUACGUAGGUGGCAAGCGUUAUCCGGAAUUAUUGGGCGUAAAGCGCGCGUAGGCGGUUUUUUAAGUCUGAUGUGAAAGCCCACGGCUCAACCGUGGAGGGUCAUUGGAAACUGGAAGACUUGAGUGCAGAAGAGGAAAGUGGAAUUCCAUGUGUAGCGGUGAAAUGCGCAGAGAUAUGGAGGAACACCAGUGGCGAAGGCGACUUUCUGGUCUGUAACUGACGCUGAUGUGCGAAAGCGUGGGGAUCAAACAGGAUUAGAUACCCUGGUAGUCCACGCCGUAAACGAUGAGUGCUAAGUGUUAGGGGGUUUCCGCCCCUUAGUGCUGCAGCUAACGCAUUAAGCACUCCGCCUGGGGAGUACGACCGCAAGGUUGAAACUCAAAGGAAUUGACGGGGACCCGCACAAGCGGUGGAGCAUGUGGUUUAAUUCGAAGCAACGCGAAGAACCUUACCAAAUCUUGACAUCCUUUGACAACUCUAGAGAUAGAGCCUUCCCCUUCGGGGGACAAAGUGACAGGUGGUGCAUGGUUGUCGUCAGCUCGUGUCGUGAGAUGUUGGGUUAAGUCCCGCAACGAGCGCAACCCUUAAGCUUAGUUGCCAUCAUUAAGUUGGGCACUCUAAGUUGACUGCCGGUGACAAACCGGAGGAAGGUGGGGAUGACGUCAAAUCAUCAUGCCCCUUAUGAUUUGGGCUACACACGUGCUACAAUGGACAAUACAAAGGGCAGCGAAACCGCGAGGUCAAGCAAAUCCCAUAAAGUUGUUCUCAGUUCGGAUUGUAGUCUGCAACUCGACUACAUGAAGCUGGAAUUGCUAGUAAUCGUAGAUCAGCAUGCUACGGUGAAUACGUUCCCGGGUCU
rnacentral:rRNA from 1 species